rnacentral:rRNA from 1 species
GACGAACGCUGGCGGCGUGCUUAACACAUGCAAGUCGAACGGAAAGGCCCUGCUUUUGUGGGGUGCUCGAGUGGCGAACGGGUGAGUAACACGUGAGUAACCUGCCCUUGACUUUGGGAUAACUUCAGGAAACUGGGGCUAAUACCGGAUAGGAGCUCCUGCUGCAUGGUGGGGGUUGGAAAGUUUCGGCGGUUGGGGAUGGACUCGCGGCUUAUCAGCUUGUUGGUGGGGUAGUGGCUUACCAAGGCUUUGACGGGUAGCCGGCCUGAGAGGGUGACCGGCCACAUUGGGACUGAGAUACGGCCCAGACUCCUACGGGAGGCAGCAGUGGGGAAUAUUGCACAAUGGGCGGAAGCCUGAUGCAGCAACGCCGCGUGCGGGAUGACGGCCUUCGGGUUGUAAACCGCUUUCGGCUGUGACGAAGCGUGAGUGACGGUAAUUGGUAAAGAAGCACCGGCUAACUACGUG